UAGCGCCUCGUGAAUUCAUCUCCGGGGGUAGAGCACUGUUUCGGCAAGGGGGUCAUCCCGACUUACCAACCCGAUGCAAACUGCGAAUACCGGAGAAUGUUAUCACGGGAGACACACGGCGGGUGCUAACGUCCGUCGUGAAGAGGGAAACAACCCAGACCGCCAGCUAAGGUCCCAAAGUCAUGGUUAAGUGGGAAACGAUGUGGGAAGGCCCAGACAGCCAGGAUGUUGGCUUAGAAGCAGCCAUCAUUUAAAGAAAGCGUAAUAGCUCACUGGUCGAGUCGGCCUGCGCGGAAGAUGUAACGGGGCUAAACCAUGCACCGAAGCUGCGGCAGCGACGCUGAUGCGUUGUUGGGUAGGGGAGCGUUCUGUAAGCCUGCGAAGGUGUGCUGUGAGGCAUGCUGGAGGUAUCAGAAGUGCGAAUGCUGACAUAAGUAACGAUAAAGCGGGUGAAAAGCCCGCUCGCCGGAAGACCAAGGGUUCCUGUCCAACGUUAAUCGGGGCAGGGUGAGUCGACCCCUAAGGCGAGGCCGAAAGGCGUAGUCGAUGGGAAACAGGUUAAUAUUCCUGUACUUGGUGUUACUGCGAAGGGGGGACGGAGAAGGCUAUGUUGGCCGGGCGACGGUUGUCCCGGUUUAAGCGUGUAGGCUGGUUUUCCAGGCAAAUCCGGAAAAUCAAGGCUGAGGCGUGAUGACGAGGCACUACGGUGCUGAAGCAACAAAUGCCCUGCUUCCAGGAAAAGCCUCUAAGCAUCAGGUAACAUCAAAUCGUACCCCAAACCGACACAGGUGGUCAGGUAGAGAAUACCAAGGCGCUUGAGAGAACUCGGGUGAAGGAACUAGGCAAAAUGGUGCCGUAACUUCGGGAGAAGGCACGCUGAUAUGUAGGUGAAGUCCCUCGCGGAUGGAGCUGAAAUCAGUCGAAGAUACCAGCUGGCUGCAACUGUUUAUUAAAAACACAGCACUGUGCAAACACGAAAGUGGACGUAUACGGUGUGACGCCUGCCCGGUGCCGGAAGGUUAAUUGAUGGGGUUAGCGCAAGCGAAGCUCUUGAUCGAAGCCCCGGUAAACGGCGGCCGUAACUAUAACGGUCCUAAGGUAGCGAAAUUCCUUGUCGGGUAAGUUCCGACCUGCACGAAUGGCGUAAUGAUGGCCAGGCUGUCUCCACCCGAGACUCAGUGAAAUUGAACUCGCUGUGAAGAUGCAGUGUACCCGCGGCAAGACGGAAAGACCCCGUGAACCUUUACUAUAGCUUGACACUGAACAUUGAGCCUUGAUGUGUAGGAUAGGUGGGAGGCUUAGAAGUGUGGACGCCAGUCUGCAUGGAGCCGACCUUGAAAUACCACCCUUUAAUGUUUGAUGUUCUAACGUUGACCCGU
rnacentral:rRNA from 1 species